GAUUUCCACCAACUCCUGCGGAGGAAGGGGCGUCUUGACAUCCCCAGUGCAAGAUUCUACGCCGCAGAACUUGUGUGUGGAAUUCAAUAUCUGCAUUCUAAGGGCAUCAUCCACCGAGAUCUCAAGCCUUCCAACAUCCUGGUGACUGAAACGGGCCAUAUUAAGAUUG